AGCGAACGCUGGCGGCAGGCUUAACACAUGCAAGUCGAGCGGGCACUUCGGUGCCAGCGGCAGACGGGUGAGUAACACGUGGGAACGUACCCUUCGGUUCGGAAUAACGCUGGGAAACUAGCGCUAAUACCGGAUACGCCCUUUUGGGGAAAGGUUUACUGCCGAAGGAUCGGCCCGCGUCUGAUUAGCUAGUUGGUGGGGUAAUGGCCUACCAAGGCGACGAUCAGUAGCUGGUCUGAGAGGAUGAUCAGCCACACUGGGACUGAGACACGGCCCAGACUCCUACGGGAGGCAGCAGUGGGGAAUAUUGGACAAUGGGCGCAAGCCUGAUCCAGCCAUGCCGCGUGAGUGAUGAAGGCCUUAGGGUUGUAAAGCUCUUUUGUCCGGGACGAUAAUGACGGUACCGGAAGAAUAAGCCCCGGCUAACUUCGUG
rnacentral:rRNA from 1 species